UUAAAUUGAAGAGUUUGAUCAUGGCUCAGAUUGAACGCUGGCGGCAGGCCUAACACAUGCAAGUCGAACGGUAACAGGAAACAGCUUGCUGUUUCGCUGACGAGUGGCGGACGGGGGAGUAAUGUCUGGGAAACUGCCUGAUGGAGGGGGAUAACUACUGGAAACGGUAGCUAAUACCGCAUAACGUCGCAAGACCAAAGAGGGGGACCUUCGGGCCUCUUGCCAUCGGAUGUGCCCAGAUGGGAUUAGCUAGUAGGUGGGGUAACGGCUCACCUAGGCGACGAUCCCUAGCUGGUCUGAGAGGAUGACCAGCCACACUGGAACUGAGACACGGUCCAGACUCCUACGGGAGGCAGCAGUGGGGAAUAUUGCACAAUGGGCGCAAGCCUGAUGCAGCCAUGCCGCGUGUAUGAAGAAGGCCUUCGGGUUGUAAAGUACUUUCAGCGGGGAGGAAGGGAGUAAAGUUAAUACCUUUGCUCAUUGACGU
rnacentral:rRNA from 1 species